UUUUUUCAAUUGCUCUAUUUUGAUUGCUAGACUGGAAGCACUUUUGGAAGCUUGUAGAAAGAUCAGAGAGAGAUGCACGUUCUUUGUCUGCUUUGCUAUCCCCGUGAGAAUCUUUGAUUUUUGAAUCAUCAUUCUCUAAUACCUCUACAUCUGAAUCAUCGUCCAACACUAUAAUUUCUUCUAAAUUGGAACUGGCCAGUGGGACAGCAAAAGAUUCUUCAACAUGUGGAAUUUCUGAAACUGUAGUGGGCUCUUCCACAACUGGUUUUGGAUCAUUUCUGCCCAAAAAUGAAUGGAAUGGAAGAUUUACAGAAUUCCUGAUCCUUUCCAGCUUGAUCUCUUCUUUGUCCUAAAUAUGAGGGUGGAAAAAAGAGUUAAAACAUUAUAAGGAUUUUUACCUAGUAUAAAAGGAAAGCUGAGAUGAAUUGUGAUUAGUCUCCAUUAUGACCAAGUUAGAUGCAGCAGCAAGAAUGAGAUGAAAUGGGAGGCUAACGCAUGUCAUGGAACUAACCCAAAAAACCUGAAUGCCAAAAACAUCCUAAAACCUUCCACAGUAUCUACUUCGGGUUAGUGUGUGGGUCAUCUCAUUUGCAUUUCAAUAAUAACUCAUACCUAAAGCACUGGGCACACUGCCAAAGUGAAGGAACCCUCUACACGUUGCAUUAUCUGACAUAGCUAAAGACAGCCAAGGAAAGUUGAAAGAGCAUAAAAAUUCCACAAGUGUAGAAUGCAUACCUUUUUGUCAAUAUCAAACCUUCUCUUUGCGGCUGCACUUGCACUUCCCAGCAUUGCUCCAAAAGCACCAGUUGGCUUCUUUAAAACCUGAACAGUUGCUCCAGUAUCCUGUUCAAUAAGAACAAAAAUUUCAGAUUACCGAUUUGCAAGGAUAAAAGCUCUACAAGCAGCAAUAUUGACAAUCAUGGCUUAAGAAUAAAUUUUCACACGCGUAACUGGAUCCAUGUUCCUCAGUGAAACAGGGAAGUUUUCUCUGUGAAGCUCAGAAACAUUACUACUGGAUUCAACACCAUUUUCACCAUGACGCGUACAAGAGCCUCCUUGUUGAUCUCUGCAAAUCUUUGUCUCCAAAGGCCCCUUUCUGAGCUGUGGAGAAGUUGCUUGGAGAGUAUUCCUAUUGCCAUCAUAAAUGGUCUCUGUUCCAGCAGUCUCCAGAUUUGUGUGCUUAUCAGCGGCAAAGCCUUCACAAUUAUCAUUAAGUUCUAUGUUUUCCAGUGAGGCCGUUUCAGUGUGUCCAUCCUUUAAAAGUUGAGCAGCAGCUUCAAACUCGGCAGUAUUUUGCAUGGCAUGCCUAAUUAUGUUAACAAGGGAACCAAGGUUUCGCUCAACAUAUGGGUGCUUUGUUUUCAAUACUCGACGCAACUUUUGAGGCGUAACAGGCAUCUGUUUGGCAAUUUCAAGAAGAGUUUUGUUUGGUAAUAUAUAGCCUGUGCUCUCAUCUUCAGCACGGGCAACAAUAUCUCUCCACUCAAAGAGUCCUGCAACAAUGGCAAGCUGCUGAGCAUUGAAACCAGCAUUCUGCAACCCAUAAAUGUGGAGAUAUGAACUUUCUGUCAAAAGCUCCUUCUCAUAAAGCUGCAUGCACACAUCAUAACUGCGUCUGUAGACCUCCAAUAGAGGACUAUCAGAACUUUCAGUGCCAUUAGGCAUUGAAAGCAACAUGGUUCUCAUCAAAUCAUAGAUAUACAACAGAUAGUGGGUAUCUUCUCUAGCAUAUCUAAGCAUCUCAUUAGAAAGAGGGCGUAAUCUCCAAUCUGCAUUCUGGUAUUCUUUGUUGGCAGUGAUUCCACAAAAGUGAUGCAAAAGAUACUCCAAACUAUUUCUAUCCAGCUUCAAUACUCUUGAGGCCUGUCCAGUGUCAAACAGAUUGCAGAUAUAUAUGCCAAAGUCCCGUUGAAGCCAUAUAAUAUCUCGAUCUGCUCCAUGCAUGACCUUUUUCUUGGUGGGAUCCUUGAAAACUUCCCUAAGGUAUGGCCCAACAUGUAUUCGAAGCUUUAAAGUAUCUACAAUAAAAUCCUCAGUUCUGGUAGAAAUUUGCAUCAAGCAUGUCAACCCUUGGAAUGAGCGAUACUGAUUAUGUUCCAGAUCAACCGCAAAUUCAUCUACACUGCGCAAUUUAGCUGCCAGCUCCUUCAGAUCUUUGACUUCUUCCACAAGCUUGAAUGGGGUACGCUCCAAGGGGAGUGGUGAUACAGGCUCAAGAUUCCCAGUACUUUUAUCCACAAAAUCCAAAACAGACAGCUUUUCCAGAGGAUGAACAAAUCCCGACCCGUCCUCACUCCUCUGCAACCAAACAUGCUCAAACCGCUGGUUCGAAUUAUUCACCAAUAUAUUAUACUCGUCUUGAGGCUUCUUUAUUGUAGGUAUAUGAAACGGGACCUUUGCUUUCACUGCCUUUGCCUUAAUAUCAGCUACCUUCACUCCAGAAUCACACACCAAGUCACUCGCCGAGCCACUACUCGAAUUCACUAAACCCUUCUUUUUCUUCCCAUACACCAACUGAAAUCCGCUCUCCGUGUCCAUCCCCGAUACCCGACCAGUUUCCUCUUCCUUCUUUCUGAUGCUCCGGAAUUCAUCGACAGAAGCGUCAAAACGCUCCAAGAUCUCAUCGUUAACGUUAACAAGCCAGUCGUAAGCGUCAUCAAUAUCAACAUCUCCAGGAAACUGAAGUUUAUCCUUAAAAACGCGAUUGGAGGAGCUGAUUGAUUCGAGCAGUGAUUGCGAUUUCGCGGAAAUUUGUUGGACAGGAAGCUUAAAUUCAUCGAAGUUAUAGUAAAAAUGGAAAUCUUUGUUUGAAGGGAUCGUACGACACGAGCCUGAAAGACUGGAUAGUGAAGAAGAUAGCGGUCCUGUGUUUAGGGUUUGUAAAGUUUGGGAUUUGGAAGGGCUUUUCGAAGUUUGAUCAAUGUUCAUAGCAUCUUCGCUCAUGGUGUCUGUGUAUAUGAAAUAGCUAAGUUGGGUUCGGUACAGAAGGGUUUAGGUUAGGGUUUUAGAGACGGCAGUUGUAGUUUUACAAUGGCGAGGAAGCGAGUGUGGCUCUGAGAAAAAGGUGAAAAGGAAGGAGGAACCGGAAGAGAGAGCAACUGCGAAUAUUUGUCACGUGACAUGGAUAGGGAGCAUGUGUGAAUCAGGUAAAUUUUGA
rnacentral:misc_RNA from 1 species